CACGGGGCAGCAUGAAAUACAUGUAGCACAGAAGAUCUUUCCACACACUAGGAAGCAGCAAUCCUAACAUGAAGAAAAACAUCUUUGUCUGAUUUUCUUAU